UUAACCGGGUCCCAGAGGCGCGUUUUCUGCUCCAUCGCUUUCUGCCCCCUUUUACGUAAAAAAGCGACAGGCACUUAAACUAGCCUUAAAGAGUUCAGAUUUCUACAGCUGGGCCCAGGCCUUAGCACGCGGAGCGGGGAAAGAAUCUACAGUUUUCUCGUCCGUGACCUAAUUUAGCAGAAUUCGAACCCAGGCUCGCAAGCGGACGCGGUCCCCUCUUCAGGAUAAAAGUUCGGGGUCGGUGACCCCCGGCGCCACGUCCCGAGCCCAGGAAUCAGUAACUCAAAGCCAGAGGCAAGGCUCCUCCCAUCAGAAGCCUCGGUAAAGCCACGCGGGCCAAACGGUUUGGGCAAGUCCAGCUCGGGGAAAAGCGCUCCGACUUAGCGGAGUGGCCAGCCCCGCGGCACGCCCACCCUCUCGCGCCUGCCCGGGACUCCACCCCGCCCCUUUCUCCAGGCCCGCCCGCCCGCUCGCCCCGCCCACCCCUCCACUCUCGGCUCUCGGCUCUCGACCCUCGACCCUCGACCCCCGACCCUGUCUAUGCUGUCUCGGAUCGCAAGCUCUCGGAGACUGCUCCACGAUUUCUGGCCUCGCUUCUCCACUGGUAUGAUGGGAGACUUAGCCUCAAAGCUCAUCAGACGCGAGGACGCUAUAGCCGGCCGCAGCGAACCGCUGAAAGUAGCAGGUCCUCUCCUCGGGGGUCAGUAUUUGCCGUUUCUUCCAGCCCAGCCCAUAAGAAGCACUUGCCUGGGAAACACUGCUGCUUUGGGAGGGGAAGUCACGGGAAGUGCGCAGGGAACAUUGAACACAACUGCUUCUGUACAAGAGGAAUGAGAUACACUGAGACGGAGGAAAGAAGAGAAUUCAUGCUCAUUCAGGUGAAUGAAGGGGUUAAAGAACCUUGAAGUAAAAUGGUCUACAGCAUUCUCAAAACACCUGGAGUUUAUUUUUCAUUGGAAAAAAAAAAAACUGAAACAUCUAUCACAGAUUGUGUAAUUGCCCUUCUUUCUCAAAUAAACUUAUAGCCAAUGGAAAU
rnacentral:lncRNA from 1 species